GUCUUUUCUGGGACAUCCGAUAAAAUUAGAACAAUACAAAGAAGAAUAGCAUGACCCCUACGAAGGAUGGUGUGCACAAUUCGAUAAAUGGUCCAAAUUUUU